ACAGGCUUGAGCCUUUUGGCUAAGAUCAAGUGUAGUAUCUGUUCUUAUCAGUUUGAUCACUUUUUAAUUAAAUAACUUGUCCUUGUCAAAUUAAUUUGUAAAUUUCU
ensembl:snRNA U2 U2 spliceosomal RNA